rnacentral:rRNA from 1 species
CCUACGGGUGGCAGCAGUGAGGAAUAUUGGUCAAUGGACGAGAGUCUGAACCAGCCAAGUAGCGUGAAGGAUGACUGCCCUAUGGGUUGUAAACUUCUUUUAUAUGGGAAUAAAAUGUUCCACGUGUGGGAUUUUGUAUGUACCAUAUGAAUAAGGAUCGGCUAACUCCGUGCCAGCAGCCGCGGUAAUACGGAGGAUCCGAGCGUUAGCCGGAUUUAUUGGGUUUAAAGGGAGCGUAGGUGGAUUGUUAAGUCAGUUGUGAAAGUUUGCGGCUCAACCGUAAAAUUGCAGUUGAAACUGGCAGUCUUGAGUACAGUAGAGGUGGGCGGAAUUCGUGGUGUAGCGGUGAAAUGCUUAGAUAUCACGAAGAACGCCGAUUGCGAAGGCAGUUCACUGGACUGCAACUGACACUGAGGCUCGAAAGUGUGGGUAUCAAACAGGAUUAGAUACCCCAGUAGUC